GUCGAACGAGAAACCCCGGGCUUGCUCGGGGGAGUAAAGUGGCGCACGGGUGAGUAACGCGUGGGUAACCUACCUCUGAAUCUGGAAUAACUUCGCGAAAGCGUUGCUAAUACCGGAUAUUGUCCCUUGAUCUUCGGUUCUUGGGAUGAAAGGUGACCUCUUCUUGAAAGUUGCCGUUUGGGGAUGGGCCCGCGUACCAUUAGCUAGUUGGUAGGGUAAUAGCCUACCAAGGCGAGGAUGGUUAGCUGGUCUGAGAGGAUGACCAGCCACACUGGCACUGAAACACGGGCCAGACUCCUACGGGAGGCAGCAGUGAGGAAUCUUGCGCAAUGGGGGAAACCCUGACGCAGCAACGCCGCGUGAGCGAAGAAGGCCUUCGGGUCGUAAAGCUCUGUCUAGUGGGAAAAAAGUCCUGGUGUGAAUAGCUCCAGGAUCUGAUGGUACCGCUGGAGGAAGCACCGGCUAACUCCGUGCCAGCAGCCGCGGUAAUACGGAGGGUGCAAGCGUUGUUCGGAAUUAUUGGGCGUAAAGGGCGUGUAGGCGGUUUGGUAAGUC
rnacentral:rRNA from 1 species